AGACACGGGGGAGGAGAGAGGGAGAAAGUGAACUCACUCUGCAGGAGGAGCAGAUCCACGGAGAGAGAAUCGGCUGCUGAUCUGCAGAAAAUACUCAAUUACCUUUUACAAAACCUCCAGAUGAACGUGCAGAUUAGGUGAAUGAGGAGAGGUGGAAAAUAAAUGUGGAAACAGUGACGCUCUUACUGCUGAGGUGAAGCUGAGUCUCUCUGUGAGGAGUGUGUCUUCUCAUCAUGGAGGUGAAAGAGGAAAUGAUGGAUAUCCUUCACAAGGUGUGGAUUAAACUGCAGAACCUCCCUCAGUCCAGUCCUCUGGAGCUGGGAGCUUUCUCCGUGCUCAUGCUGUUCGUGGCCACAUUCCUCUUCCUGAUCCUGUUGUCCUGCAUCCACUGCUGUUGCUGCGGGAAACAAAAAUACCAAACCACCAGAGUUCAGCCCAUGUGAAGACAGAACCCACACACACACACACACACAAACACU